UUUCAUACUGAGACCACUGAUGUUAUUAGCAUUUAGCCUCUCCUCCAGGUAAGGGUUUAAAGGAGUUUACUUGUCCCUCUAGUAAAAUCCUAAAUCAGUAAAAAUGAUGGAUUAUUGUCCAAUGACACAAUAGACAUUUACAUUUAUUUGCCCAAGACUCUGUCAUAUGGUGUCUUUAUACAAAACUAUUGUGUUUCUUGUAAUUGGUUUAGCACAUGACAAUAAAUAAAUAAAUAAGAACAAUGAACAUCUCUUAUCUCUCCAUCACUCUCUAUGCUUAGUCAAUAAUAUAAAACCUUUUCCUGAUUGAAUUUAAUCCCCCUUUUGUUUUUAGAUGAAAUUCCUGUAAGUGCAGAUGAGGCUGAAGAGGAGAGUCACAGUGAGUCAGGGGACUCUGCUGAGAAACAAUCUGAUAAAGAUGAGUCUCAGUCUACAAAUUAUGAAAACAUAGUUGGAGAAAAUGUGGUUAUAGAUGAUGACACAAUGGACAUAACUGAUGGAGAUACCUUUGAUUUUGAAGAUCCAGCAAAGAGGCCUGCAAAGAAACCUGCACCAAAACACAGCAUCACUGAUGCAGAUGCCACUGAUUUUGAAGAGGCAGCAAAGAGGCCUGCAAAGCAACCUGGACCAAAACGCAGAGUAAAAAAAAGAGCAUGGUCAAAGACUGAAGAAGCAGCUGUAAUGCGGCAUUUUUAAAAAACACAUCAAGAAAGGAAAACUGGCCACAAAAAAUGAAGUAACUCAGUGUAAACAAGCAGAAAUUGCCUUAAGUCAGAGAACACUGCAGAAUAUAAGAGACUUUGUGAGAAAUCGUGGACUAGCAUGUAAAAGACAACUAAAUGUAAAAGAUUGAUAAGCAUUGUCUGAAAUGGAAGCUGGAAGUAUUUUUUUAAAGUUUUGGUUCAAUUGGAUAGUGUUGAAGUUUGCAGUUCUUUUUUUUAUUUUUAUUUUUUUUACUUGCUAUUCAAGGCUCUGUGUAUCAGGUGAUCCCUGUAGGGUGGUAAAUUCCUAGAACCCAGACAUAGCCAAAGUACAACCCAAAGUUCACGUAGGGUUUUCAGAGAUGGAUUCCAUACACCUUUGCUCUGACGGUGAUGAUCUUUCCAUCAAGACCCAAAUAUUUCGACGCCUAACACCCUGUUGCUAAUUAGACAGUUAUAACAAAAGGCUGCUGUUUUCGCUGUGUAGACCAGUCCAUCGCACUCAGCUCUCAUACAUGGCUUAGUGGCUCACUGCACAGAGAAUGGGUGUAUGUUUUAAAGAAAUAGUUCAGGAUUUUUGACAGAGGGCCUAAUUUCCAACUUAUCCAGAGUGUUGGUGAUGUCUGGAGAUGUUUUUUUUUUUUUUUUUUUUGUGUGUGUGCAAUUUUUAUAUUUUAAGAGCUUAAUGAUGCUCUGCUAAUGCUAGCCUAGCGCAUGUUUACCGU
rnacentral:lncRNA from 1 species